rnacentral:rRNA from 1 species
GACGAACGCUGGCGGCGUGCUUAACACAUGCAAGUCGAACGGCGAACCUCUUCGGAGGGGAUCAGUGGCGAACGGGUGAGUGACACGUGGGCAACUUCCCCCCGGCCUUCGGUUAACUCCAAGAAAUUGGGGCUAAUACUGGACGUAUACCGCAUCCCGCCUGGGUGGGGGUGCAAAGGGUUUUCGGCCGGGGAUGGGUGCGCGGCCUAUCUGCUUGUUGGUGGGGUAGUGGCCUACCAAGCCGACGACGGGUAGCCGGCCUGAGAGGGGUACCGGCCACACUGGGACUGAGGCACGGCCCAGACUCCUACGGGAGGCAGCAGUGGGGAAUAUUGCGCAAUGGGCGGAAGCCUGACGCAGCGACGCCGCGUGUGGGAUGACGGCCUUCGGGUUGUAAACCUCUUUCAGCAGGGACGAAGCGCAAGUGACGGUACCUGCAGAAGAAGCACCGGCCAACUACGUG